rnacentral:rRNA from 1 species
CCUACGGGGUGCAGCAGUGGGGAAUAUUGGACAAUGGGGGGAACCCUGAUCUAGCCAUGCCGCGUGUGUGAAGAAGGCCUUUUGGUUGUAAAGCACUUUAAGCGAGGAGGAGGCUACCUAGAUUAAUACUUUAGGAUAGUGGACGUUACUCGCAGAAUAAGCACCGGCUAACUCUGUGCCAGCAGCCGCGGUAAUACAGAGGGUGCGAGCGUUAAUCGGAUUUACUGGGCGUAAGGCGUGCGUAGGCGGCCAAUUAAGUCAAAUGUGAAAUCCCCGAGCUUAACUUGGGAAUUGCAUUCGAUACUGGUUGGCUAGAGUAUGGGAGAGGAUGGUAGAAUUCCAGGUGUAGCGGUGAAAUGCGUAGAGAUCUGGAGGAAUACCGAUGGCGAAGGCAGCCAUCUGGCCUAAUACUGACGCUGAGGUACGAAAGCAUGGGGGGCAAACAGGAUUAGAUACCCCAGUAGUC